GGGGCGGGAAGGGACUGCCAGGCUCCCGCCUCUCCUCCUCAUGGCCCUUCCCUUCGCAGCCUUCCUUCUGCCAGGCCCGGCGAGCGUCCAGCCCCAAGCCCAGAGACUUCCCGCUGGCCAGGCCCGCCUGGUCCACCCGGCGUCGGCCAGCCAGUGGGCUGCUCACACGCGAAACCUGCCCAGGACCCUAGAAGAUGUCUAGAAGUCAGUUGGGGUCGAGGAAUAAGCCUCUACCCACGUUUAUGUGGGUCAAUGAAGUCACAGAACAGAUAACCUACCCCACACUGAAGAUAGCUGCUCCUGCGACAUCUCCUGCUUCUCUGCAGCCGCCGCCGCCGUGUGCACCCCUCUCUGGAUGUGGGGCCGGGGAUGUGGCUCCCCCCUGUCCCCAAGGCCCACCUCAGGUCCCUGCACAGACACUGAGUCCAGUGGCAUCCUCCGCCACUACCCACCUGAGAGAAAGUGUCCCGUGGAGCCCCGGCCUGGUGCUCCCCGAUGCCAGGAGCCCUUGGCUGCUGCUGGACACAAGUAUGCAGUGCUCGCCAUUCCCGGCCCCUCCCCCACCAUGCAGGCCACUGAGCCCUGCGCUUCCUGCCUGCCAAGGCACCCUCCCGGCCCGAGGGCUUUCCUAUAUUUAUGAUUUGUCCAAGAAGGUGACAUCCUUCAGUCCCAAGAAAGCCAUCCUCCAGGCCAUGUGCCUCACCCAGAGGACCCUGCACCGGGUCCUCACCGGCUCCCAGCCGGACACAAACCGUGACCUGGUUUGACCUUUGAAUUGUCCCAGCAUCUAAAAUUGAGAACUUUAUCUGGAUGUCUAUCAUUUUUCCCAUAUGUAUCUGUAAUUCUUUUAAAUAAAUUCCUUUUAAAACAAUA